GCUCCUGUAGCCCAAUUGGCAGAGGCUGCCGUCUUAAACACGGUUUAGGUGUGGGUUCGACUCCCAUCAGGAGUA
rnacentral:tRNA from 1 species